rnacentral:rRNA from 1 species
CACGUAGGGUGCGAGCGUUGUCCGGAAUUAUUGGGCGUAAAGAGCUCGUAGGCGGUGUGUCGCGUCGGCCGUGAAAACCCGCAGCUUAACUGCGGGCCUGCAGUUGAUACGGGCAGGCUAGAGUUCGGUAGGGGAGACUGGAAUUCCUGGUGUAGCGGUGAAAUGCGCAGAUAUCAGGAGGAACACCGGUGGCGAAGGCGGGUCUCUGGGCCGAUACUGACGCUGAGGAGCGAAAGCGUGGGGAGCGAACAGG